rnacentral:miRNA from 15 species
AUAUAAUACAACCUGCUAAGUG